rnacentral:rRNA from 1 species
AGCAGCCGCGGUAAUUCCAGCUCCAAUAGCGUAUAUUAAAGUUGUUGCAGUUAAAAAGCUCGUAGUUGAAUUUCGGGAUCAGUAGGUCGGUCGUGCCACUGGUAUGAACUGGUCUCACUGGUUCCUCCCUCUUGACGAACUGCAAUGCUAUUAAUUUAGUGUAGUAGGAAAUCAGGACUGUUACUUUGAAAAAAUUAGAGUGUUUAAAGCAGGCUUUGGCUUGAAUAUAUUAGCAUGGAAUAAUGAAAUAGGACGUUCGAUCCUAUUUUGUUGGCUUCUAGGAUUGACGUAAUGAUUAAUAGGGACAGUUGGGGGCAUUAGUAUUCAAUUGUCAGAGGUGAAAUUCUUGGAUUUAUUGAAGACUAACUACUGCGAAAGCAUUUGCCAAGGAUGUUUUCAUUAAUCAAGAACGAAAGUUAGGGGAUCGAAGACGAUCAGAUACCGUCGUAGUCUUAACCAUAAACUAUGCCGACUAGGGAUCGGAUGAUGUUAAUUUUUUAAUGUACUCAUUC